rnacentral:rRNA from 1 species
UACGAGGGGUGCUAGCGUUGUUCGGAAUCACUGGGUUUAAAGGGUGCGUAGGCGGGCAGGUAAGUCAGUGGUGAAAUCCCCGAGCUUAACUCGGGAACUGCCAUUGAUACUAUCUGUCUUGAAUAUUGUGGAGGUAAGCGGAAUAUGUCAUGUAGCGGUGAAAUGCUUAGAUAUGACAUAGAACACCUAUUGCGAAGGCAGCUUACUACGCAUAUAUUGACGCUGAGGCACGAAAGCGUGGGGAUCAAACAGG